AAACGAAGCUGCUCAAAAGAUGGAUUUCUGCAAUAGGUUCCCGGUUCCUUUAUACCCUGAGCUGAUUCACAAGAGACUAGAGAAUCAGUACUACAGAAGUAUUGAAUCGUUUAAACACGACAUGGAUGCAAUGCUCUCAAACGCGGAGUCUUAUUUUGCUAGGAAUGCACAUAUGCUUUCGAAGAUAAAGCGAUUGGGAGAUAAAUUGACAAAAACGUUAAGAAAGCUGAUCUGAUGAGAAGACAACAACGCUGGUAUGCUUCUUUUAGGCCUCGCUGUUUCUGUAUCUUGUGAACACGCUAGGAUGCGGCAGUUAUUUAUCUUUUUAUAUAAAAUUAUACUAGCGAAGAGAGUGUUAAAAGAAGAAGAAGAAAAAUAGAAGUAAUUCACUCUAAACAAAAGAAGUCGGUUUUGUUUUGUAGUCACCCGACACAGGUUAAUGUAUAGUUUAGUGUUUUUAGUACCCACAAGACUAACAACAACAACAUGUCUGUCUGUAACAGAAAAUUUACUCUUUUGUCACAAGAAUGACAUCAUAAGUCUAAUUUUUAUU